rnacentral:rRNA from 1 species
GAAGGGCCCGAGCGUUGCGCGGAAUCACUGGGCUUAAAGCGUACGUAGGCGGACAUGCAGGCAUCUUGUGAAAGCCCUCGGCUCAACCGAGGAACUGCAGGGUGAACCGCAUGUCUUGAGGUGAGUAGGGGCUGUCGGAACGAUAGGUGGAGCGGUGAAAUGCGUUGAUAUCUAUCGGAACGCCAAAGGCGAAGGCAGACAGCUGGGCUUAUUCUGACGCUGAGGUACGAAAGCGUGGGGAGCGAACGGGAUUAGAUACCCCGGUAGUCCACGCCGUAAACGAUGUGCACUAGAUCGAGGGAGUUCUGACACUAUUCUCGGUCGAAGCAAAAGUGUUAAGUGCACCGCCUGGGGAGUACGGUCGCAAGGCUA